GUGAUAAUUUUAACGGCCGCNGUACACUGACUGUGCUUUUGGCANCAUAAUAACUUGUCUCUUAAUUGGAGACUGGCAUGAAAGGCNUCAUGGGGAUAAGCUGUCUUAUUAGAAUUUGCUAAAAUUUUCUUAGAAGGUGAAAAUACCUUCAAGACAUAAAUAAGACGAGAAGACCCUUAGAAUUAUAACAAUACUUCUAAUUUUAGGAGGGCGUUUUUGUUGGGGCAACAUUAUCAAAGUGAAAACUGAUGAUUAUAAGAUUUUACAUUCCCAUUAUAAUAUAGAUGAACUUAAUUACCUAAGGGAUAACAGCAUAAUUCAUCUAUGAGAGUAUGACCUCGAUGUUGGACUAGGGACUUUUUACAUUAGACGUAUAAAAAGAUUGUUCUGUUCGAACAAAUUAACCCUACGUGAUCUGAGU
rnacentral:rRNA from 1 species